GGGGGUUUCUUUUGCUGGUCUCUUUUGAGGUCGGCUCCCCUAAAACUGACAUUAGCGGAACAAUUUGUUGACCCGUUCAUUGGUGUGAUAACUAUCUACGCUUUUGACGUGAAACAGGUUCAGCUUCUAACAGUCCAUUGACUUGGACAAUUUUUCAUUAAUGUGACCUCAAAUCAGGUAGGACUACCCGCUGAACUUAA
rnacentral:misc_RNA from 1 species